UCAAGGCUGACAUCUCAGCAUUAACUUAUCCAAACAAGAGGCAGGCGGUAUGUUAUCCGGCCUCGCACUGGAGGAGGAGCAGGAGGAGCAGGAGGAGGAGAUAGGGAAGGAGAGAAGACGAGGAGAAGAGAGAGAAAAGGAGGGGGAGUGUUUCUUCCGUGCACUCCUCUGCCCCAUCUCAGUCCCACAGGGGAAUAACAGCAGUUUGCAUACGAGGCUGAACAUGACACGAGACCCGAUGCCAUUUCUGAGAGUUUGAUGUUCGAUCCCGUCUCUGAUCCCGACGCGGCCACGUUUCACCACCGAAGCCAUUUUCCCUCUUCACCGACUCCACAACAUGAACAUCCCCCCUCUUCCUCCCUGACAUCCCCUCAGCCAGACGCAGAACAUAACACGGAAACCGGCCGAGCGCGAUGCAGAACUGUUCCUCUCUCUCCACCGUGUGCUCUUCCACAUCGACAGUUCAACUCUGUGAAAGAUGGAAAACAACAAACGUCUCCAAUGAAAAAUGAAUAUUCCAUAAAAGAUCAGAGUUAUUAUCAUACACAACUUAAUUUAGUCAAAUGCAUUGUGGAGUUUAUCUGAUUAAAUGAAUAUCCAGUAUUUAGUGGAAUUUAUAAUUUAAAUAUGUCGUAUUUAGCUUUUACAGUUUAUCUCAAUUUUUCGGCAUGGUUAGUAUUUUGAAGCAAGUGAUUUGACUAAAGUGUUAUUUUGUUCUGAUGGGCUGAGACCACUUUAUUAAGCAUAUUUUUUUAUGUCUUCUUCAUGUUGACAUCAGACGAGUGAUACUUGUUGAAUAUCGCUCCAUCACCUCCUCUCUGUU